rnacentral:misc_RNA from 1 species
GAUCAUUAAAGAGUUUAAUAAAACUCCUAAACCCCUGUGAACUUACUGGUGUUUGGCUCGCCAGAUAUAGUCUGGUCCGUAAGCAAAUCGACUGCCUGCCUGUGUAACAGGCAGGUAAGCUUUUGUCGCGGGGUCCCGGAUCAACCCGGGCUAGAUAGCCACUUAACUAUAUACUUUUUAUAAAAUCUGUGAACUUACUAGGUUGGAUUCUCGCCAGAGAUAGUCUGGUUUCUGCUUCGCGGAUCGCCUACCCGUGACACCUGUCACAGGCAGGUAUGCUUCUGCCGCGGGUCCGUAAGUAAAUCAUCUGUUUCGCAAGGGACGGCGAUUUACCUGUGGAAGAGGUCCGCUAACUAUAUUCUUAGUAUAGUUUGUUCACUAGAUCAAACAUUCUGAAUAAAAACUUAAACUAGUUAAAACUUUCAACAACGGAUCUCUUGGUUCUGGCAUCGAUGAAGAACGCAGCGAAAUGCGAUAAGUAAUGUGAAUUGCAGAAUUCAGUGAAUCAUCGAAUCUUUGAACGCACAUUGCGCCCAUUAGUAUUCUAGUGGGCAUGCCUGUUCGAGCGUCAUUUCAACCCUUAAGCCCCUGUUGCUUAGCGUUGGGAGCCUACAGCCUGCUGUAGCUCCUUAAAGGUAGUGGCGGAGUCGGUUCACACUCUAGACGUAGUAAAAUCUUUAUCUCGCCUAUGGAUGAGCCGGCGCCUUGCCGUAAAACCCCUAAUCUUUCACAAGGUUGACCUCGGAUCAGGUAGGAAUACCCGCUGAACUUAAGCAUAUCAAUAAGCGGAGGAAAAGAAACCAACAGGGAUUGCCCUAGUAACGGCGAGUGAAGCGGCAACAGCUCAAAUUUGAAAUCUGGCCUUCGGGUCCGAGUUGUAAUUUGCAGAGGAUGCUUUGGGCGCGGUGCCUUCCGAGUUCCCUGGAACGGGACGCCUUAGAGGGUGAGAGCCCCGUACGGUUGGACACCAAGCCUCUGUAAAGCUCCUUCGACGAGUCGAGUAGUUUGGGAAUGCUGCUCUAAAUGGGAGGUAAAUUUCUUCUAAAGCUAAAUAUUGGCCAGAGACCGAUAGCGCACAAGUAGAGUGAUCGAAAGAUGAAAAGCACUUUGAAAAGAGGGUUAAAUAGCACGUGAAAUUGUUGAAAGGGAAGCGUUUACGACCAGACCUUUUCGCAGCGGAUCAUCCGGUGUUCUCACCGGUGCACUUCGCUGGGUUGAGGCCAGCAUCGGUUUCCGCAGGGGGAUAAAAGCCUGGGGAACGUAGUCCCUCGGGAGUGUUAUAGCCCCUCGCACAAUACCCUUGCG